rnacentral:lncRNA from 1 species
CGUUUAACGUCAGACUCGACUCUCAAAAGUCCCCAGCGGAGUCGCCAGCUGUAGCGACCUAAAAAUUUGGUGUGGGCGCUAAUUGAAGUGAUUAUUGAAAAUUUGAAAACGGAGUUUCGAUUUUAUUUGAAAAAAAGGAGUCGCCACCGAUCUUUUUCUAGGUGUGAUCGGACACCUUCAAAACUCUCUUUUUAUAAGAAAAAAUUUAAUUUUAAACUUUUCUAAAAAAGAGGCAAUUUUAGGUCUACGUUGAAAUCCAGAGAAAAUUAGGGUUCGGGAGUCGGUUACGCGCGAGGAAGGUAUUAGCAC